rnacentral:rRNA from 1 species
AAUGAACGUUGGCGGCGUGGAUUAGGCAUGCAAGUCGAGCGAGAACCGGUUUCGGCCGGGGACAGCGGCGAACGGCGUAGUAAUGCAUCGGAACGUACCCUCUGGUCGGGGAUAGCUACGGGAAACUGUAGGUAAUACCCGAUGAUCUCUGCGGAGCAAAGGUGAGAUUCCGCCGGAGGAGCGGCUGAUGUGAUAUUAGCUAGUUGGUGGGGUAAUGGCCUACCAAGGCGAUGAUGUCUAGGGGGUGUGAGAGCAUGGCCCCCACGACCGGAACUGAGAUACUGUCCGGACACCUACGGGUGGUUGCAGUCGAGAAUCUUCCGCAAUGGACGAAAGUCUGACGGAGCGACGCCGCGUGCGGGAUGAAGGCCCUUGGGUUGUAAACCGCUGUCAGAGGGGAUGAAAUCUUCGGAGGUACUCCUCCGAAGUUGACAGAGCCUCAAAGGAAGCACGGGCUAAGUACGUGCCAGCCGCCGCAGUAACAC